GACGUAGGGCGCGAGCGUUGUCCGGAUUUAUUGGGCGUAAAGAGCUCGUAGGCGGCUUGUCGCGUCGUCCGUGAAAACUUGGGGCUCAACCCCAAGCUUGCGGUCGAUACGGGCAGGCUAGAGUUCGGUAGGGGAGACUGGAAUUCCUGGUGUAGCGGUGAAAUGCGCAGAUAUCAGGAGGAACACCGAUGGCGAAGGCAGAUCUCUGGGCCGUAACUGACGCUGAGGAGCGAAAGCAUGGGGAGCGAACAGG
rnacentral:rRNA from 1 species